rnacentral:tRNA from 1 species
GGAGAGAUGGCAGAGUGGUCGAAUGCAGCGGUCUUGAAAACCGCCAGACGCAAGUCUCAGGGGUUCGAAUCCCCUUCUCUCCG